CCUCCACCACCUCUGGGAUCAUUCUUGCAUCACUGCUGGGAUCAUUCCUGCACCCGCUCAGGGAUUAUUCCUGCACCCCCUCAGGGAUUAUUCCUGCAACACUGAAUAUAACCAGAGAGAGGGAGUUAUAGGCCCCCAGUUUUGUACCGGGUCAAUGGGAGCAAAAAAUGAGGCCCACACAAGGGUUAGCAUCAACACUGAAUCAAAGAUGUUUAACCAUAACAGGGAACACUAUAGAAUUAUCAAGUGCACAAUGAUAAUGCAUCUGUCACGUAAUGGAGGCUGAGACGGAAGCAAGUGCAGGUAUGGCAGUUUAAUAAAAUAACAAGUACAAGGGAUCAGGCAGAAAUCAAUAAACAAAGAGAGGCAGAGCUCAGACAAACAGUCCAAACAAGGCAAGGCAAAAAGACAUGGUAGAAAACAAGAACAAAGUUAAGACCAGAAUAAACAAACAAGGUAUCAAGUCUUGGUAACAGCAGAGACUAAAUGUAAUUGAGCGUAUACUUCUCAAGGGCUGUCUGUGUGUGAGAGUCUCUUACUAUAAGUAGUGUGGUGUCCUUGAGAUUGUAAUUGGGAACAGGUGUGUCUAAUUAGUUCUCAAGAGAAGGUGACUUGACAGUGUGUAGCUUUGGGAGUUGUAUUCGUCGGCCAUGUUUGUAGUUCGUGGUGCAUUCUGGGAAAUGGAGUCACUGGUGAUUUGAUCAUUAUAAUUAUAAUAGUAAUUAUAAUAAAAAAAUAACCCAUGAUAAUGGCAUAAAGACAUUCAGGACAUGUUAAAGCUAUACUUAAAAUAUACGUUUUAAGCUAAUAAUUUACUCUCAGGCUAUAAUUUGGGUAGAAUGGUUGCUGUACAAACUAUAAUUGUGUCUUAGCACAUAAAACAUUUAUAAUAACAUGAACAAGUGCAUAACAAAGUGAAAAUACAGUACAUUACAUUUGCAGUUUUAAAUAGAUAUAGGACAAGUUUAAUUUUCACGUGGAAAGAUUUAGUAUCUUCUUUUCCUGAGUGACACCAGCAGAGUUUAUUUAAAGCACAGGUGUCAGAAAGCAGUAAGGAGACACUGACCUAACACACACACACACACACACCCAUUCUCAUCUGAAGUUUGCAUCUUAUGAGACUAGAUUUCCAUAUUUGUUGUCUUUUAGCUUUAAAACAGACCUCAGAUUAAGGCAUUUAGAUUUAUGUCUAGACAACUGACCAAAAAAAAAAAAGAGAGAGAGUGGCCAUGUCUGACUGGGAUACCACACACUCUCUUGGCUCCAUUUUCUUCCUUCAAGGCUCUAUGCUGUACUUGGGGGCAUGGUUGGAGUUGGAGACGGACCUGAAAGCAUUGUUUUCUGGGAGGCAUUGCUGUCGAUAUGAAAGAACAUCCUUCAUUCCUACUGCAUUGAAUCCUUAACCAAGGGUAACAAAACAUGAAGUAUUACCAUACAUAUCUGGUGAGACCUUCAUCAACUGCACAGUUCAGCUCACACUUGAAGGUAAGAGCAAACGCAAGGUUCGCCUCAGGUGUGCAAAUAUUCAUGGUAUUUAAGGGU